UGCGAGCUCCGCUGGGGGCGGGAGAACAAAGCUGCUGCUGCUGCUGCCGCCUCCGUGUGAGCCGGCUGCAGAAUGACGUCCAUGUUUCGCUCCAGCUCAUCACAUCCUCCUAUGGGACAUAGGAGAGAAAUGGCUGAAGUGGAGCCAGCUAAGGGUUUCCAGUUUCCCAACCUGAUGUGAUCUCCCAG